rfam:Branchiostoma floridae genomic scaffold BRAFLscaffold_127, whole genome shotgun sequence.
GUUGGAUACGGUGAUAUUGCUCCGAGGACACUCCCAGGAAAGCUCGUCGGGACACUGUGCGCUUUCGCUGGCAUGUUGGCCAUCGCCUUGCCCGUGCCGAUCAUAGUAUCAAAC